GUUUGUACUUUCCUCUUUAGAGUGGUAAUUUUUUUUUACAGCUAUCUAAACUUUUUAUGUAAUAAAUAUUUUAAAAAAGGAUGUUUUCACUUAUAAUUACACGAGAGCUUACACGAUGUUGCAAUCAAUUGCAAAUAUCGAGACCAAACCACGCCCUUAGUGAAGGGAAAUUUCGAUGUGGUCAAAAUUUUGAUUGAGAAUGGUGCCAGCAUUAAUUCUACAAAUAGUGAGGCCUGUAAUCCACUCUUCGAAUCUCCAAAACUUGUCGAUUGUGACAGUACGGGAUAUUUAAUAAGCAAAGAAGCGAAAAUGGAGGCGAAAUACUUAUUGAAAGACAACUUUCAAUGUAUGAAGAGUUUAAUUAAGAAUAAAAUUGAACUGAAGAGUCUUUUGCUGGACGACUUUGAUUCUUCUACUUUACUAAAAAACAAGGACUCCCAAUUGAUUUGUAUGAUAAAAAACAAAAAAAUCCACUUGUAGUCGCUGCAAAAAUUGCAUUUCUUGAUUGUUAAACUUUUGGUCGAUGCCGGCGCUGGAAUUGAUUCAGCGAAAGAAGAAUUGGAAGAAUUUACCAAUCAAGAUAACGAGUGUUAUGUUUACUAUCAGAGAUUGAAACUAAACAAGGUAAAGACACAAUUUUCAGAUUUUGGUGAGAGAUGUCACGAAACCGCAGAAUAAACUAAUCGUAUAAAGUUUGUUGCAAUUACUUUUCAAUGUAUUUUUUUUACAAUAAAAAUCAUUUUGUAUCGUUCCUUA